ensembl:lncRNA
CGACAGGCACGCGCUGGAGGCACGCGCUCGGGCUCCAGUGGGAUGUGUGUGUGUAUGUGUGUGUGUGUAUGUGCGUGUGUGUGGUGGGGCUGGAUGGCGUGACACAUGGCCAUGUCUCACAUAUCUGCCGCGACCCUGACCUUGAGGGACACAAUAAAAGGCUCCGCCGUGGCCCCGCGGCCGGGUCUGCGCUGCGCUGCGCUGCGCUGCGCUGACUGGUGAGGCUCGAGUUGCCGCGCGGCGCAGUGCGGCGCUGCACCACUGCUCUGCACUGCUGUGUUCACCGCCCUCCACCCGCUGUACUAACUGUACUAACAGCUCCUGUCUUGUCCUGCGCUUUUUUUUAAUCCGUUCAUGUGAUUAGUUGUGUACGUACGUGCAUUUAGGUAGCGCGUGCUGUGACCCAGCCCCAUGCUGCCUUGCAACACUAACGUCUGUUUCAAGUUUAACCUCAACUGUUCUUUAACAGUAUGUUUUAAAGUUUAAAACUGAGGUCUAGAAGGUUUGCAAUUAAAAUUGCAAGAUUUACAGGCAGUAAAUGGUAGCUGUAAAGUGAACCGGUGGCAUUUUUAUUCAAGGACUUGCAAUGGAGAUGGAGGAGGUGGAGGAGAUGGACGAGAUGGACGAUCUUGACGCCUCGCUGCAUACUGAAUGUCUCUGAAGCACUCCCGAGUACCAGCCUGAAUCCUGAAAAUCCUUUUUUAUGAACCAGAUUGAUGGAUGCUGGCUUUCAUAAAGCAGACCACGAUCCACAGCUUCUUGGUCUUCUGAUGAGACUCUUACAGCGAAGAAGGAUGACGACAUACAAAAGGAAGAUGCCUCUCUUAACUGUUAUGAGGCAGCAAGGCCGUCCUGCUGUGGAGAUGGAUGAUCUAGGACAAACUGAACCGAGAGCUGACCCUCACAGUGGACUGCUACUUUGUGUGCUGCUUCCACCUCAGCAAGACUAUAUCCAGUGAGUCCAGGAUGAGGAAGCAGCUCAUGGACUAGACUUCAACCUGGGCUGGGUCUUCAACCCUUCUUGAGGAUGAGGACCAAGAGGUAGCUGAGGUCACUCACCUAAAGCAGCGAUCCCCAUCAUCUGAGCAGCGCAUGCUGCCAAAGUAUAGCAGUGUAAAGAGGCUCCUUUCAAUCCGACAGACCACCGUGACAAAGCGUUCCACCAUACCAGCAGAGACUAACACCGUAUGGGAGUCUGCUUGGUGGAUGGGAUGAUGUGUGAGUGCCGCGUGCGUGGCGUGCGUGUGGCGUGCAUCCACACACGUGCACUUGCGUGUGUGGUCCCAGUGGAGAUGGUCCCUUUUAAACACAAAUGGUGUUCACGGAGGCAGGUGGUGACAUGUGUUCCUCAAGAGCGCCGCAGCCAGCUGUUCAGCCACUCUUAAAAAUAACUCAUAGCUCAUCCCAUGGCCCCUUUGUGCCGGACGAAUGCAGUUUUUAUCGGCUGCGUUGAUGAAAUGUUUGCCUGGGUGACAGAGGAUCACUUUUCACAAAGGGCUUCACUGUUAAAUGACAACCAAUACUUUUUGUACACCUUUUCAAUCCCUGAGCACAAAAUCCUGUAAAGGAUCCAAGUGGCAAGGUUUCAGACUGUAAGCAGCAAUAAAAAGU